GAAGCUGACCAGACAGUCGCCGCUUCGUCGUCGUCCUUUCGUGGAGACGGGCGGAGGGGAGGAAAGUCCGGGCUCCAUAGGGCAGGGUGCCAGGUAACGCCUGGGGGGGAAACCCACGACCAGUGCAACAGAGAGCAAACCGCCGAUGGCCCACGUAAGUGGGAUCAGGUAAGGGUGAAAGGGUGCGGUAAGAGCGCACCGCGCGGCUGGUAACAGUCCGUGGCACGGUAAACUCCACCCGGAGCAAGGCCAAAUAGGGGUUCAUAAGGUACGGCCCGUACUGAACCCGGGUAGGCUGCUUGAGCCAGUGAGCGAUUGCUGGCCUAGAUGAAUGACUGUCCACGACAGAACCCGGCUUAUCGGUCAGUUUCACCU
rnacentral:RNase_P_RNA from 1 species